GUUAAAGAGAUUGGGGGAUUCAGGUCGCAGGAGAGAUGGCGCGAGCUACGUAUAUGUGUAACAUCGAGAGCAAUAUGCAUGCUUGCUCCAUCCUCCUGUGACAUGAAACCCUCUAUUUUUUCCUAAGUGAGUAUUCGUCCUGGAUCCUUUAUUACUUACAUUCUUGAUCAUCAAAUGGAUUAAGAGAGGGGGAGAGGAAUAAGCGAUAAAAGAGGUGGGAGGAUUCCUGUCGCAGGAGAGAUGGCAUGAGCUAGCUUGUAUAUAUAUGCUUAAAUACCGAGAUACUUGGUAAAUAUAUAUAGAUGAGCUAUUGAUGGUGUAUAUAGUAGCUAGCUUGUGCCAUCCUCUUGUGACAGUAAUCCCUACAACUUCUUAAUUUUGUGCAUGUGUAUCUAAUUACAAGGGGCAAACUAAAGAGAACACAGUGAUAAUGUUGCCGCGGAGUUUGCACAGAAUGAAGAAAAGUACCGAAACGGGAAGCUUGAUCGAAGAGGGGCAGGAAUGGAGCAAUAAAGAUUUCAUGCUUCAGCAGACAUGGCGGAUACCAGCUAGAAUAGUCAUAAAUGGUGUAAACAAGAACAGUGACAUAAUGCAAUAUUGGUUUCAAGUUUCUACAGUUCCAUGCUUAAGUAGGUCGGAUCAGAUAGAGUCUGUAUUCUUCACAGUACCGAAUUAUUAUCAAAAGUUUGAGAAGUUUUCAUUCUCA